CAAUAGCGUAUAUUUAAGUUGUUGCAGUUAAAAAGCUCGUAGUUGGAUUUCUGGUGGGAGCGAUCGGUCUGGCGCUUAGCGCGAGUACUUGCAUCGUCUCCGGCCAUCCUUGGGGAGAGUCUGUCUGGCAUUAGGUUGUCGGGCAGAGGAUCCUCAUCGUUUACUGUGAAAAAAUUAGAGUGUUCAAAGCAGGCUUAUGCCGUUGAAUAUAUCAGCAUGGAAUAAUAAGAUAGGACUUUGGUACUAUUUUGUUGGUUUGCGCACCAAAGUAAUGAUUAAUAGGGACAGUUGGGGGUAUUCGUAUUCCGUUGUCAGAGGUGAAAUUCUUGGAUUUACGGAAGACGAACUACUGCGAAAGCAUUUACCAAGGAUGUUUUCAUUAA
rnacentral:rRNA from 1 species